CUCCCUCCAUGCCCUCCCCUCCCUCAUACUCUCUCUCAAAAAUAAUCAGGAAACACAAUUGGAGUGGCAACAUGAUCUGCAGACUCCUAAAUGACAACUACCGUAACUGGUAAAUAUAUGUAUAUUUUUUACUUAAAGUCUUGGGAGUUGUCAUAAAAGCAUACAGCAAAUAAAAACAUAUAUUACAGAAACAUUUAUUCAAGAAAAGAUUAAAACUUGGUAAGAAUAGUAAGUCUCUUUGGUAUUUGAGCCACACUAUUUCUCCCCCUAGCUCCCAGUUUCAGCCCACAGUUUCUCCUUAGGAUGAGCAGACUGCUAGCAUUUCUCAUUCUACCUGCCCCCUCCCCGCAAGCUCUAUGUCACAGAAGCUCUAUUUCAGGUAACAGUAGCAAAGAGGACUGGACCUUCCUUCCUCUACCCAGUCCCCACUUAAAGCACUGAAGAUCUAGCCCAGGAAUGGCAGACCAAGAUUACUGUUUUCUGAUCACUAUUGACCCAGCUUAUGAUUGGAAGUUCCAUGCAAGGAAAGGCAAACAAGACCAGGAGCUGUCACCCACUGCUCUAUUUAUAGACUACUGCUCUAUUUAUCACUCCUAGAAAAGCAGGCUACUCUCCCCAUCUCCAACUCUGAGACAGUAGCAAAUUAUAAACAGAGCUUCCAUAGCAUCCUCUAAGUUAAAGCCUAAGGGUGCUGCCAUAGACAAAGGAAAUUUGGAGUGGGAGUAGAGACAGACGAAGAGACUGGUAACUCUGUGAUAGCAACAGGCAAAAGGGAAACCAGUGAUAAUCCUAACAGAGAAUGAAAGGCAGCUAAGAGUAGUCCUAGGUCUAGAACAAGCCUCAACGAGACUAUAAGGGCCUGAAUUUAAUUGGCUCAAACUGUGUAGCCAUUUGCACCCCAGUGCCCAAAAUAAUAGACCCACCAACAAUUAGUGGCUGUUAAUUACAGUGUGAUAACAGUGGAGGCGAACUAGAACCCUUACAAGGAGAUUGGAGAAAGGAACCUAAAUGCCCUACUAAAACUGUCCUUGGGGUUGGAGGGAGGAUUCCGAGUGACUGCACAUUCCCAGACUGUGCCCUCUCCAGAGGAGCAUCAGAUGCUGUACAGUGCAGGGUAAAUGGACUUAGAAAGUCCAGCUGAGUCACUAAAAAGCUUUGGGAAGAGAAGAGGAUGAGUCUCCAGAGCUGCUGUAUUAUCUAAACUGUCCAAUUUUAAACAAAAAGUUCCAAUAUCUGUGGAGAAGCAAAGCAAAGUGUGUCCCAAAACCAAGGGGAUUUCAAAACAGUAAAAAGAAACUUCCUCUGAGUGGACCCAGAUGUUCGAAGCACAAAAACCUUCCAAGCAGCUCUCAUAAGUAUAUUUUUUUAAAAAACUAAACCCAUGCUGGAGGUAAAGGUAUGAUGAUAUUUCAUAAAUAGAAACAAAGUAUUUUAAAAGAACCAAAUGAUGCAGAUAAUAACAGCCUGAAGAGCAGGAGAAAAGGGCGUGAAAAAUAACUUGAGAGAAAUAUGAAUCACCAACAUUGUGUAAUGGGAAUUCCCAAAAGAGAGAAGAAAGAAAAUAAGCAGAAAAAUACUUUGAAGUUUUCUUAAUGCUUAAAAAUCCCAAGUCUGGUGGAAAACAUUAAUCUGAGAAAAAUCAGUAAAUUCUUAACAGAAAGUAGGCCAUUCGGUCUACACCCACAUACAUGUCAGAUUAAAAAUACUGAAAGAGAUCUUGAAAACAAAAAACCACUAGGUAUAAGAAAACUCCAUUAAUGGUUGAUUUAUCAGAAACAGACCUGAAGGCAGUGGGAUGAUAACAUGCAGAGUGCUGGAAAGGAAAAAACCAUCAAGAAUCUUCUAACAAAACUAUCCUUCAGAAAUGAAGGCAAAGUGAGGACAUUCUCAGAUUUUAAGAAUUAAUUUCUAGGAAACCAAUCUUACAAGAAAUAGUGAAUCUUUUCAAGCUGAAAGGAAGUGAGACCACACAGUAAUUCAAAUCCCCAUGAAAAAAAAUGCUGAAGAAGGUAAUUAUGUAGGAAAUUACAAAAGGCAUUGUAAUGACCUAUUCUUCCCUCAGCUGACUUAAAAAGCAAUACUACAAAACUAUAUAAUUGUGUUAUCUAUAACGUAGAAAUGUAUAUUUGUGACACCAUAAAGCAGGUGGUGGAAGCAAAACUGUAUUUCAAUAAUGAAUCCACAGGAAGAAAUGAGAACAUGAAAUGGUAUAAAAAAAAAAAAAAGGUAAAUAUAAAAAAACUACAAAUAAGCAGGCACUAGGAGGACGUAGCUCCAGGUCAGGCCUGGGGGUGUCCAAGCCAUUGCAAAGUGAGAGGUGUGGCCAGAGCUGCUUGAAUAUCUACGUUUCACUUUCUGUGCUUAUCCAGAGUUCUAAUUCAUCAUGGGUAAUCUGUCAUCAGAAGAAAUUCAACUAAAAGCCCACCCACUCAUCCAGUUACGGAUGAGUUUCUGGAAAGUACAAGGAAAAUACUGGGUUUAGCCCUUAAUUCUCAGGAUGCAGGAAUCAAGACUGUCACUAUGCUGGAUGAACAAGGGGAGCAACUAAACCACAUAGAAGAAGGCCUGGACCAAAUAAAGACAUGAGAGACACAGAAGACUUUAACAGAACCCAACAAGUGCUGUGGCCUUUGCGUCUGCCCGUGUAAUAGGACAAAGAACUUUGAGUCUGGUAAGGCCUGCAAGGCAACAUGGGGAGAUGGUGGAGACAGCUCUCCUAGCAAUGUUUAUCUAUGCAACCAGACCAAGUGACAAAUGGUCAGCUUCAACCAACCACUGGAGCAGCUAUCAGUGGAUACAUUAAACAUAUAACCAACAAUGCCAGAGAAAAUGAGAUGGAAGAGAACCAACUCAAGUGGGCAGUAUCCUAGGAAACCUAAAAAACCUGGCCCUGGACAUGGGCAAUGAGAUUGAGGCUCAAAAUCAACAAAUAGACCGGCUCACAGAAAAGGCUGACACCAACCAAGAUCAUACCGAUGUUGCCAAUGCCAGAGCAAAGAAACUCAUUGACUGUUAAAGCUGCUGCUGUAAUUCUUUAUCAUGUAUUCGCUUCUCUAGCUCCUCCUUCAAAGUCAUUACCUUUUGAGAGUUUGACGUUUUGGUGCCAUGCUCUUCUCAAUUAGGAGAUAAUGUGCAAGAGGGGCCAAGAAUACAGAUCCCCUAUUGCUUUUUUAUGUUGCUUUCCCUUGAGGGUACACUGCUGCUCAGCCUUCCUUCUAGUGUUUGUUUUUUCUUGGUUCAUAGUCUUAGAUUGGUUUUUGUACAUCAUGUAUUGUGUUACUUUUCAUCCUCCUCAUUUACUCUAGCAGGUUCUUUUGCUUUGAAGAUUUAGAAGUGUUGCCAAAGACAGCCAUGAAGAAAGAAGCUGGAGGCAGGGGGAGUGCAAGGAGGAGAGAGAGGCAAGAGAUAAGGGGUUGUUACCUCAGUGAAACCUGUAGGCUCCAAAGCAAAAGUUGUAUAGACACAGUAAAGAUCUGGUUGGGUUUAAUUUUUAACUUAAGUUGCAGUUACUGCCAAUACUUGGUUUCACACAAUAUUUUUACUAUACACAAUAUUUUUAUACACAAUAUUUUUGUUAUACAUCACAACUUGGCAAUCUCUGCUCCAGAAAAAUAGAAUGACUUUUCUCAAAGUGGGCUUAGUUUCUGAACAUUUGGUGAUUUGCGUAUGUCCAAAGACAGUGAUCCCAUUUCAUACUGCACCAUACAGGAACAUCUUUUAUAAAUGAAUGACUUUUUACUUUCACAUUAUUAGUAGUAUCAUGGUCCCAUUACAUGCCUCUUAAUCUUGUACAUAUGUAUGUGUAACAUGAGAAUUUCUAAAGGAGGGCUUAGAUUUUUUUGGGAAAGUUUGACAAAGUAUAUUAUGUGAAUUCAGAUUUACCUCAAUGUCAAGAAUCAUGUUUAGAUAGGAUAUAAGAAACUUGUUUUGAUCUCAGGUAGAAAAACAGAUUGCUUUGAGUUUUUUGUAUAUUUAGACUUUUAAAAAGCUAGAAUUUAUUCUGUUUAAAAGUGAUUUGGAAAAUUGUGCCUUUGGUUUAAUUAUUGAUGAUUGUUACUAUCAUUCAGUUAGCCUUAUGGAUUGAAUAAUGUCCAGGAUCACAUUUAUUUAGAUCCUGAACAGUGUUAUAAGAAUCUGAUUGGUAUUUGUCACCUUUAUUUAAGAACUAGUGUCUGCAUAUUUCACAGGUAUUAAUGUGGAUUGGUUUGACCAAUAACCACUGCUUGAUCUUUACAAUUAAAUUUUAUA